CGCCUCUCAAAGUUGGCUGUGAAAUUGUUGUUUUUUUAUGUAUUCAUAUCACAGCCAGCUUUGAAGAGCGAUU
rnacentral:pre_miRNA from 1 species